UAUUUAAUUAAAAAAAAGUUAAUUACAAUGCCCGUUUUUAUUGUUUCUCGUUUUCAGUGCUUUUUUUUGGGCAUCUUUUGUUGUGUGGCAGCACCGACAUUGUAGUACAAUUGGUUUACAAAGCAAAAAGUGAGGUUGAAGUUGACAUUUUUUGCAACUUAAAAUUCAAUUUUCAU